CCCUUAGAUGUUCUGGGCCGCACGCGCGCUACACUGAUACGUUCAACAAGUUUAUAACCUUGAUCGAUAGGUCUGGGUAAUCUUUUGAAUGCGUAUCGUGCUAGGGAUAGAUUAUUGCAAUUAUUAAUCUUGAACGAGGAAUUCCUAGUAAACGCAAGUCAUCAGCUUGCAUUGAUUACGUCCCUGCCCUUUGUACACACCGCCCGUCGCUACUACCGAUUGAACGGUUUAGUGAGGGCCUCGGAUUGGUCUCGGCCCGCUCUUUACCGGGCGGCGCCGUUGGUCGAGAAGACGCUCGAACUUGAUCGUUUAGAGGAAGUAAAAGUCGUAACA
rnacentral:rRNA from 1 species